AUUGAACGCUGGCGGCAGGCCUAACACAUGCAAGUCGAAUGGUAACAGGAAACAGCUUGCUGUUUCGCUGACGAGUGGCGGACGGGUGAGUAAUGUCUGGGAAACUGCCUGAUGGAGGGGGAUAACUACUGGAAACGGUGGCUAAUACCGCAUAACGUCGCAAGACCAAAGAGGGGGACCUUCGGGCCUCUUGCCAUCAGAUGUGCCCAGAUGGGGUUAGCUAGUAGGUGGGGUAACGGCUCACCUAGGCGACGAUCCCUAGCUGGUCUGAGAGGAUGACCAGCCACACUGGAACUGAGACACGGUCCAGACUCCUACGGGAGGCAGCAGUGGGGAAUAUUGCACAAUGGGCGCAAGCCUGAUGCAGCCAUGCCGCGUGUAUGAAGAAGGCCUUCGGGUUGUAAAGUACUUUCAGCGGGGAGGAAGGGAGUAAAGUUAAUACCUUUGCUCAUUGACGUUACCCGCAGAAGAAGCACCGGCUAACUCCGUG
rnacentral:rRNA from 1 species